rnacentral:rRNA from 1 species
UUAUGUAAAGUCUAGCCUGCCCAGUGAUAAUUGAAUUUAACGGCCGCGGUAGCAUGACCGUGCUAAGGUAGCAUAAUCAUUUGUCCUUUAAUUGAGGACUGGUAUAAACGGCUGCACAAGAAAUUGUCUGUCUCUACUAUAAAAUUUGAAAUUCACAUUUAAGUGAAAAGGCUUAAAUGGAAUAGGGGGACGAUAAGACCCUAUAAAUCUUUACAAUUAGGGCUUUAGUUAUUAGAAAGUAGUUAUGGAUCUAAAUCUAAGGUCUAAAUUGUUUUGUUGGGGCGACAGAAGUAUAAUAAGUAACUGCUUUGGUUUUCAUAUUAAUUGUUUUUAUUAUGGUUAGUUUAAAAGAUCCUCUUUUGGAGAUCACAGACUAAGUUACUUUAGGGAUAACAGCGUAAUCUUUCUUGAGAGUUCAUAUCGAAAGAAGGGUUUGCGACCUCGAUGUUGAAUUAAAGAACCUUUAUGGUGUAGCCGCUAUAAGAGGA